rnacentral:tRNA from 6 species
CGCGGGGUGAGCAGCCUGGUAGCUCGUCGGGCUCAUAACCCGAAGGUCGUCGGUUCAAAUCCGGCCCCCGCAACCA